AUGAACGCUGGCGGCGUGCCUAAUACAUGCAAGUCGAGCGAACGGACGAGAAGCUUGCUUCUCUGAUGUUAGCGGCGGACGGGUGAGUAACACGUGGAUAACCUACCUAUAAGACUGGGAUAACUUCGGGAAACCGUAGCUAAUACCGGAUAAUAUUUUGAACCGCAUGGUUCAAAAGUGAAAGACGGUCUUGCUGUCACUUAUAGAUGGAUCCGCGCUGCAUUAGCUAGUUGGUAAGGUAACGGCUUACCAAGGCAACGAUGCAUAGCCGACCUGAGAGGGUGAUCGGCCACACUGGAACUGAGACACGGUCCAGACUCCUACGGGAGGCAGCAGUAGGGAAUCUUCCGCAAUGGGCGAAAGCCUGACGGAGCAACGCCGCGUGAGUGGUGAAGGUCUUCGGAUCGUAAAACUCUGUUAUUAGGGAAGAACAUAUGUGUAAGUAACUGUGCACAUCUUGACGGUACCUAAUCAGAAAGCCACGGCUAACUACGUG
rnacentral:rRNA from 1 species